rnacentral:rRNA from 1 species
UCUUGAAGCUAUACACCCCCUACAUGCUAAUGUAGGUUAGGCCUGGUCAUUAUUUGGAUGGAAGACCUCCUGGGAAAACCUAGUAGCUGCAGAAA